CAAGUUAUGAAUGGAACAUAGAUCUAUACAACAUGUUCAGUCCUACAGGCCACCCCAGGACUGGUGCUAUAAAUAUAUAUACCAGUAGAGAGAACCACUGGACUGGGUUGAAUACCAGAGGGCGUGACUGUCAGCUAUGAGUGCACUGUCACUGAUGAUGAUGGUAGUCGCUCAACAAUAUGGCGAGGGACUGCAUUCAACUGUCCCAGCAGCGCAUCCCGGAUCAUCUUAAUUCAUUCUGAACCUAAUGGAGAGAGUGGUGCUUGUGGUGACUUUUCUGCCAUGAGUGUUGGGGUUAGUGGAGAUAACUACACCUCAAGACUCACUCUAACAGCAACUGCUGGGCUGAAUGGAAUGACUGUUGAAUGUAGUCGGAGUGGUAUAGUUAUCGUCAGAAGCGGAUACCUUAAGAACUGGAGUUGGAGUACGUCGUGGGUCUGGUGGAAUGUGACCCUGGAGUCCUGGGAACAAACCCUUCCUCUCAACGAAGUGCUGGCUCAGUGGUUUUACCCAAAGAGUAGUGACCUACAGUGGUGUGGUUCUCGGCUCUGUUGCUACCAUAACAUGUGACCCUCGGUAUAAUGUUGCUAACGAGUACAACAGGACCUGUAUAUUAAGUGACAGUCACUGGUGUAAAGGGACCCUGAGAUGUGAGCAAGAAACUACAGCAGGAAACAGUUUUUCUUUUGUUGCUCUUGCUGUUAUUCUGAUGUUCCUGCAUGCUGACCCUGAUUGUUGAAGUCUCCAUUGGUGUCCUCAUUGUACUGGCAAGUGAACAAGUGCAGGAGGUCUGAGAACAUAACUGAAACUGAAACUGAAACUGAAAUGAUGCUACCACCUGUGAUAUAUGAAGAACCUGAUGACAUUAAACCAGACCCCUUCACUCAGGGUAACGUUGCUUAUGAGCUACAUUUAUGUGAACGAAAGUAAUUAUUGGUGUUAGGAAAUAAUUAUAGAUCUAGCUGAAUUUUUACUAGCCAGAAUUGUUGAAUUUAGUUAAGUCAAAUAAUAAUUAUACUUUUGCGUUCGCAUAUAAUAUAGUUUUUUAUUGUAAAAUUCUUAGCUGCACA